GACGAACGCUGGCGGCGUGCUUAGCACAUGCAAGUCGAACGGAAAGGCCCUGCUUUUGUGGGGUGCUCGAGUGGCGAACGGGUGAGUAACACGUGAGUAACCUGCCCUUGACUUUGGGAUAACUUCAGGAAACUGGGGCUAAUACCGGAUAGGAGCUCCUGCUGCAUGGUGGGGGUUGGAAAGUUUCGGCGGUUGGGGAUGGACUCGCGGCUUAUCAGCUUGUUGGUGGGGUAGUGGCUUACCAAGGCUUUGACGGGUAGCCGGCCUGAGAGGGUGACCGGCCACAUUGGGAAUGAGAUACGGCCCAGACUCCUACGGGAGGCAGCAGUGGGGAAUAUUGCACAAUGGGCGGAAGCCUGAUGCAGCAACGCCGCGUGCGGGAUGACGGCCUUCGGGUUGUAAACCGCUUUCGCCUGUGACGAAGCGUGAGUGACGGUAAUGGGUAAAGAAGCACCGGCUAACUACGUG
rnacentral:rRNA from 1 species